rnacentral:rRNA from 1 species
AUUGAACGCUGGCGGCAGGCCUAACACAUGCAAGUCGAGCGGAUGAGUGGAGCUUGCUCCAUGAUUCAGCGGCGGACGGGUGAGUAAUGCCUAGGAAUCUGCCUGGUAGUGGGGGACAACGUUUCGAAAGGAACGCUAAUACCGCAUACGUCCUACGGGAGAAAGCAGGGGACCUUCGGGCCUUGCGCUAUCAGAUGCGCCUAGGUCGGAUUAGCUAGUAGGUGAGGUAAAGGCUCACCUAGGCGACGAUCCGUAACUGGUCUGAGAGGAUGAUCAGUCACACUGGAACUGAGACACGGUCCAGACUCCUACGGGAGGCAGCAGUGGGGAAUAUUGGACAAUGGGCGAAAGCCUGAUCCAGCCAUGCCGCGUGUGUGAAGAAGGUCUUCGGAUUGUAAAGCACUUUAAGUUGGGAGGAAGGGCAGUAAGCUAAUACCUUGCUGUUUUGACGUUACCAACAGAAUAAGCACCGGCUAACUUCGUGCCAGCCGCCGCCGUAAGAC